rnacentral:tRNA from 1 species
GGGGAUGUAGCUCAAUAGCAGAGCACUUGCCUGGCAUGCCUGAGGCCCUGGGUUCAAUCCCUGGCACUACCU